AAGCACUUUCACUUACAUUCUUAACUACAUGAUGCCUAAACAUGAGUCAGUGACAACUGUGUGUGUCAAAACUUUGCUUACCUUCCUCGGCAUCAUGUUUCAUGUUCAGUAUGAUGUCACUUCCUCACUUUCAGUUGCAUGUGAAUUCACUCUCUGCGACACGAAGUCAGACUGAGAGGCAGCAUGAUCACAGCACUCCUGUUCUUAACUCUCUCAUUUUCCUUAGGUAUCAUAGAUGGGGUCCAGAUCACUCAGUGGCCAAAGGACAUUUCCAAUCUCACUGGUUCAUCAGUCGACAUGCACUGCUACCAGAAUGAGACUGACUAUGAUUAUCUGUACUAGUAUCAGCACAAAGAAGGAGCAGGUCCGGUGAUGAUGGUCACAUAUGGACUACUAAUUGUGUGCAGUUUCUGCAAUCACCAAACAUCUUAGCAAAGCACAAGGGCACAGAGGAGAUCUUCUGCAGCCAUGAUGACAGCAGCCUUU